rnacentral:rRNA from 1 species
CCUACGUGUGGCUGCAGUGGGGAAUAUUGGACAAUGGGCGAAAGCCUGAUCCAGCCAUGCCGCGUGUGUGAAGAAGGCCUUCGGGUUGUAAAGCACUUUCAGUGGGGAAGAAAGCCUUGGGGCUAAUACCCUCGAGGAAGGACAUCACCCACAGAAGAAGCACCGGCUAACUCCGUGCCAGCAGCCGCGGUAAUACGGAGGGUGCGAGCGUUAAUCGGAAUUACUGGGCGUAAAGCGCGCGUAGGCGGUCUGAUAAGCCGGUUGUGAAAGCCCCGGGCUCAACCUGGGAACGGCAUCCGGAACUGUCAGGCUAGAGUGAAGGAGAGGAAGGUAGAAUUCCCGGUGUAGCGGUGAAAUGCGUAGAGAUCGGGAGGAAUACCAGUGGCGAAGGCGGCCUUCUGGACUGACACUGACGCUGAGGUGCGAAAGCGUGGGUAGCAAACAGGAUUAGAUACCCGAGUAGUC